rnacentral:rRNA from 1 species
AUUAACGCUAGCGGCAGGCAUAAUACAUGCAAGUUGAACGGCAGCACAGGUAGCAAUACUGGGUGGCGAGUGGCGCACGGGUGCGUAACACGUAUGCAACCUACCCUAUACAGGCGAAUAACCUUUAGAAAUGAGGGCUAAUACGCCGUAGUAUUACAGAUGGGCAUCUAUUUGUAAUUAAAGAUUUAUCGGUAUAGGAUGGGCAUGCGUCCCAUUAGUUAGUUGGUAAGGUAACGGCUUACCAAGACGAUGAU